GGCGCAUGGGGCAGGCAUCAGCCCCGUAGGUGGCGGUAAUGUCCGCGGGGAUGUCGGGCAUGGGUUCGAAUCCCAUAUGCGUCC
rnacentral:tRNA from 1 species